rnacentral:rRNA from 1 species
CAUGGAGGGUGAGAAUCCCGUUCGGCUGACCUUGAAACGCUCUACGAUACGCUUUCAAAGAGUCGAGUUGUUUGGGAAUGCAGCUCAAAAUGGGGGGUAAAUUUCUCCUAAGGCUAAAUACAGGCGAGAGACCGAUAGCGAACAAGUACCGUGAGGGAAAGAUGAAAAGAACUUUGAAAAGAGAGUUAAACAGUACGUGAAAUUGUUGAAAGGGAAACGAUUGAAGCCAGUCGUACCAGCGGAUAAUCAGCCUUUAGAUGCGAUUUUAUGGAGCGUGAGGAGCUAAUCGCCUUCAUGUCUGUAUAUUCGUGUACUUGGGGUGUACUUAUUCGUGCGGUAAGUUAACAUCAAUUUUGGUUGUCAUAAAAUGAUUGGAGGAAUGUAGCUUCGAUCUCGUAUUGAAGUGUUAUAGCCUUUGGUAGAUGUGAUGAUCGGGAUUGAGGAUUGCAACGGAUACCCUUCGGGGCUACCUGUCUGAUCUCUGAUUGUUGCUCUGGUGCUGAAAGCUUGCUUAUGGUUAUCAAAGUCGAUAGUCAAUAGGUUAGAACGGGUUAAAUUCGUUAAGGAUGUUGACGUAAUGG